CUGAGCUGGGACAGAGGGAGCUGCUGGCUCAGCGGGAUGGGUGUUUGAGACUGAGGAAGUCUUCCCUCAUGCAAGCUGAGCCCUGGGAGGGCUGAGAUGAACUAGACCUGACAAGUGCUCGGGUCGUGUCUGGACUUGCACAGAUGGAAUUUUAAGCACAUAAGACACCGCCAUGCUGGUGCCAGGAAGUUAGCUUUCAAAGAGAGUUCUGUGGGUCUUGUAAAAACAGCAAGAACCCAUGUCUUGGCAAUGUGGUGUCCACUGCUUCUGACAGACAGGGAGGGGCAGCACUAGGUGACAUGACUGCAAUGCCUGAAGAGUCCAGAAGACAGCAUUAGAUCCUCUGGAGCUGGAGUUAUAGCAGGGUGUGAGCUGCAGUUUGAAGCUGACAACUGAACCUGGAUCCUCUGAAAUGUCGCGAGAAGAAAGGAAAGGGAAGGGGAAGAGGCAGAUGGUCACAAAUACAGGGGAACCACAUUCUGCAAAGAUGCUGUCUUCGCCGUGUGAAAGUCAAAAGGAAUAUCCAUUCUGCGACCUCUUUGGAAUGUCAGCAUUGCUGCAUCUCUGGGAGAAUGGAGACUGGGGCAUCCCCUGUCAUCAUGCUGAAUCUUGCAUGGAUUCCUCAUGUUUGAGCACCACUCACCAAUAGACCACCUGUCUCCGUCAUCCCAGCACUGAGAUUAUAAACACUCGCCACCACUGCGGACAUUUUUAAACAUGUUCUGAGACCUGAACUCAGAUCCUUAAGCCUGCAGAACAAGCACACUAGUGGCUGAGCUAUCACCACAGCCACAAUUCCCCCAAACGUUUCCAAGUUCUUUUUCUAAACCACUUCAAAGGGCUUCUUUAUUGUUGCUAUCACAGGCAUGAGUGUCUCGGCACAUAUUUUCUGUGUCAGGUGUCCUGGGGCUGGAGUUACAGAGAGUUGUGAGCUGUGAUGUGGAUUCUGGGAAUGGAGCCCCAGGUUCUCUGCAAAAGCAGCAAGUGUUUGUAACCACUGAGACAUCUCUCUAGUCUCAAAUACAAUAUGGCCUUGGAAGUCAGAGGCUAUUACAGUGGGCUUUCUUGGGUUUAAUGGUCACCCUAGUUUCAUCAUCCCAAUAAAUGUCUUCCAGAGACUUACAAGGGUUACUGCCUGAAGCCUUGGGGAGCACCCAUGGCAGGGUUAAAGAGACAGGGACACCACCCCAGUAAGACUAGGGGGUAGAAAUGAAGCCAACGUGAACUAUUCCCGAAUGGCCCGGUGGAAAUGGACUUUGUUUGGAACAGUUAACACUUCCUUUUUUCUGUUUCUACCUUCUAAUUGGGAGUGUCUGUCUGAUGCCUAACACACUAUCUAAUGUCAGAAACAUGAAUUCCUCUGAUUUUGUGAGUUCGAAGCUAGAAAGGGAUUUUACCAUAGGAAUGAGCUCUGCCUAGAGUCUCACUAACAUCUAAUUAAGGUGAGACUCGGAAUUCCAAGCUUUAAACUUUCUAAGUGUCCAAGAAUGGACACAGGAACUAACUAGGACUUUUGAAUGCAUUCAGCAUUCAAGCAUAUGCAUUUGGUGGUGCCAAGAACAGAAUGUCAUACACUAAAUAUCCCCUACUCCUUGUAUGUUGGAGACUCAGUCCCCCGUAAGACAGUGUGAGGAAGGGAUGGGUAUAUUAAAAGGAGUCUGAAAACCCCUAUGACAGUGUAUGUGUCUGUACUGAUUAUCCUCCCCUCAGUUUCUGUAACAAAUGCUUAGCCAAGCCACAGAUGGGGGAGGGAAUUAUUUUGACUCAGAGUUUAAGAGAAUAUGACUCCAUUGUGGCAUGUUAUGUCCAAGUUUCUGGUCCCCAAAAGAAUUCAUGGAGUGGAUUUCCAACGCAAAUUACAUGAGGGUUUUUAAUAUUUAAACUCAAGUUUGGACCAACACCUUUCUAGCACCCCAGCAUGGUGGGUGCAGAAAGUGUGGCAGGGAGCCCUGGGAGGGAAGAACUUUUACAGGGAAAUGCUGUAACCAGAGGAGCUCUUCUGUCGUCUUGGGAUUGGGUAAGGAGGGCAUAGGGUAAGGUAGUUUCUGAAACCACUGGUCAGUUUGGGGGCUCAAAACCUAACAAAGAGCCAUAAAUUACUGACAAGGUAUCUUCAAGGACAGAAUGCCUCCGAGGAACAUCUGGACAUUGCUAAAUUUUAUGGCCCUGUUCCUUAGCUCCUUAAUUGGCUAUUUUUAGGGUAUCUGUUUAAAUCUUUGUUAUUGUUAUACAUCUCUGGAGCUGAGAUCUUCCCCAUCCCCAGCUCAUUAUAUGACUUAAGAUGAAGCCCCUGCUUUAAAAUGGAGUUUGCAAAGUCAGAUCCCCACAGGCAGCAAAGCACUGGCAGGUAGGAUGUCUCCAUCCCUGGCAGAGGGGAUUCGCAGUAUGACUUAUUGCAUUCUGUUAGAUCAGGAACCAGACAGCAGAGGACUCAGCAGAACCAGAAGUCCAUAUCAACUUCAAGGACUGACCCCGGUAAUCCACUCCUGCCACUGAGGCCAUGAUCCCUAAAGUCCUACAACCUGCUAAAGAACAUCACCAGUUAGGGGUGGAGAGUGCAGACAUGAGUGCUGCGGGAGGGAGUGCUUGUUUUGUUCCCAGCCGCCCGGCUAGAUUAGACCCGAAAUAAUCACUCAGAAACUGUAUUAAUUAAAACA